rnacentral:rRNA from 1 species
UACGAAGGGGGCUAGCGUUGUUCGGAAUUACUGGGCGUAAAGCGCACGUAGGCGGAUUUGUAAGUAGGGGGUGAAAUCCCCGGGCUCAACCCGGGAACUGCCUUCUAGACUGCAAGUCUCGAGGUCAGGAGAGGCAAGCGGAAUUCCGAGUGUAGAGGUGAAAUUCGUAGAUAUUCGGAGGAACACCAGUGGCGAAGGCGGCUUGCUGGACUGAUACUGACGCUGAGGUGCGAAAGCGUGGGGAGCAAACAGG